UAGCUCAGUUGGUAGAGCAUGGUGUUUGCAACGCACGGUGUUUGCAACGCCAGGGUUGUGGGUUCAAUUCCCAC
rfam:Salmo salar isolate Sally breed double haploid chromosome ssa13, whole genome shotgun sequence.